AGAUUGAACGCUGGCGGCGUGCCUAACACAUGCAAGUCGGGCGGUAACAGGCGUAGCAAUACGUGCUGACGAGCGGCGAACGGGUGAGCAAUGCUUCGGAAUCUGCCCAAUGAUGGGGAAUAACCAGUCGAAAGAUUGGCUAAUACCGCAUACGCCCUUCGGGGGAAAGCGGGGGCUCGUAAGACCUCGCGUCGAUGGAUGAGCCGAAGUCGGAUUAGCUAGUUGGAGGGUAACGGCCUACCAAGGCGACGAUCCGUAGCUGGUCUGAGAGGACGACCAGCCACACUGGGACUGAGACACGGCCCAGACUCCGUACGGGAGGCAGCGAGUGGGAAUAGUUGGACAAGUGGGGGCAACCUGAUCCGAGCGACGCCGCGUGUGUGAAGAAGGCCGUGGCGGGUUGUAAAGC
rnacentral:rRNA from 1 species